UACAGAGGGGGCAAGCGUUGUUCGGAAUUACUGGGCGUAAAGGGCGCGUAGGCGGCCAUCUAAGUCAGACGUGAAAUCCCCCGGCUUAACCUGGGAACUGCGUCUGAUACUGGAAGGCUUGAGUAUGGGAGAGGGAUGUAGAAUUCCAGGUGUAGCGGUGAAAUGCGUAGAUAUCAGGAAGAACACCGGUGGCGAAGGCGGCUCUCUGGGCCUUACCUGACGCUGAGGAGCGAAAGCGUGGGUAGCGAACAGG
rnacentral:rRNA from 1 species